rnacentral:rRNA from 1 species
AAUACGGAGGGUGCGAGCGUUGUCCGGAAUUACUGGGCGUAAAGCGUGCGCAGGCGGUGAUGUAAGACAGUUGUGAAAUCCCCGGGCUCAACCUGGGAACUGCAACUGUGACUGCAUCGCUGGAGUGCGGCAGAGGGGGAUGGAAUUCCGCGUGUAGCAGUGAAAUGCGUAGAUAUGCGGAGGAACACCGAUGGCGAAGGCAAUCCCCCGGGCCUGCACUGACGCUCAUGCACGAAAGCGUGGGGAGCAAACAGGA